ACGGCUCAGUAACACGUGGAUAACCUGCCCUUGGGUCCGGCAUAACCCCGGGAAACUGGGGAUAAUUCCGGAUAACGCACAUAUGCUGGAAUGCUUUAUGCGUAAAAUGGAUUCGUCUGCCCAAGGAUGGGUCUGCGGCCUAUCAGGUAGUAGUGGGUGUAAUGUACCUACUAGCCUACAACGGGUACGGGUUGUGAGAGCAAGAGCCCGGAGAUGGAUUCUGAGACAUGAAUCCAGGCCCUACGGGGCGCAGCAGGCGCGAAAACUUUACAAUGCGGGAAACCGUGAUAAGGGGACACCGAGUGCCAGCAUCAUAUGCUGGCUGUCCAGGUGUGUAAAAUACACCUGUUAGCAAGGGCCGGGCAAGACCGGUGCCAGCCGCCGCGGUAACACCGGCGGCCCGAGUGGUGAUCGUGAUUAUUGGGUCUAAAGGGUCCGUAGCCGGUUUGGUCAGUCCUCCGGGAAAUCUGACGGCUUAACCGUUAGGCUUUCGGGGGAUACUGCCAGGCUUGGAACCGGGAGAGGUAAGAGGUACUACAGGGGUAGGAGUGAAAUCUUGUAAUCCCUGUGGGACCACCUGUGGCGAAGGCGUCUUACCAGAACGGGUUCGACGGUGAGGGACGAAAGCUGGGGGCACGAACCGGAUUAGAUACCCGGGUAGUCCCAGCCGUAAACGAUGCUCGCUAGGUGUCAGGCAUGGCGCGACCGUGUCUGGUGCCGCAGGAAAGCCGUGAAGCGAGCCACCUGGGAAGUACGGCCGCAAGGCUGAAACUUAAAGGAAUUGGCGGGGGAGCAC
rnacentral:rRNA from 1 species